rnacentral:rRNA from 1 species
AACGUACGCUGGCGGCACGCCUAACACAUGCAAGUCGAACGAAGUAGCAAUACUUAGUGGCAGACGGGUGAGUAACAUGUAGGUAUCUACCCUUUGGCCUGGAAUAACACGAGGAAACUUGUGCUAAUACCGGAUAAGUCUUUACGGAGAAAGCUUUAUGCACCAUUGGAUGAGCCUGCACUUGAUUAGUUUGUUGGUGGGGUAAUGGCCUACCAAGACUGUGAUCAAUAGCUGAUUUGAGAGGAUGAUCAGCCACAUUGGGACUGAGACACGGCCCAAACUCCUACGGGAGGCAGCAGUGGGGAAUCUUGCACAAUGGAGGAAACUCUGAUGCAGCGAUGCCGCGUGAGUGAAGAAGGCCCUUGGGUUGUAAAGCUCUUUCGUCGGGGAAGAAAAUGACUGUACCCGAAUAAGAAGGUCCGGCUAACUUCGUGCCAGCAGCCGCGGUAAUACGAAGGGACCUAGCGUAGUUCGGAAUUACUGGGCUUAAAGAGUUCGUAGGUGGUUGAAAAAGUUGGUGGUGAAAUCCCAGAGCUUAACUCUGGAACUGCCAUCAAAACUUUUCAGCUAGAGUUUGAUAGAGGAAAGCAGAAUUUCUAGUGUAGAGGUGAAAUUCGUAGAUAUUAGAAAGAAUACCAAUUGCGAAGGCAGCUUUCUGGAUCAUUACUGACACUGAGGAACGAAAGCAUGGGUAGCGAAGAGGAUUAGAUACCCUCGUAGUCCAUGCCGUAAACGAUGUGUGUUAGACGUUGGAAAUUUAUUUUCAGUGUCGCAGCGAAAGCGAUAAACACACCGCCUGGGGAGUACGACCGCAAGGUUAAAACUCAAAUGAAUUGACGGGGACCCGCACAAGUAGUGGAGCAUGUGGUUUAAUUCGAAGAUACGCGCAGAACCUUACCAACACUUGACAUGUUCGUCGCGACUUUAAGAGAUUAAAGUUUUCGGUUCGGCCGGACGAAACACAGGUGCUGCAUGGCUGUCGUCAGCUCGUGUCGUGAGAUGUUGGGUUAAGUCCCGCAACGAGCGCAACCCUCACUUUUAGUUGUCAUCAUUAAGUUGGGCACUCUGAAAGAACUGCCAGUGAUAAGCUGGAGGAAGGUGGGGAUGACGUCAAGUCCUCAUGGCCCUUACGUGUUGGGCUACACACGUGCUACAAUGGUAUUUACAAAAGGAAGCAAAACGGCGACGUUUAGCAAAUCCUAAAAAAAUACCUCAGUUCGGAUUGCACUCUGCAACUCGAGUGCAUGAAGCUGGAAUUACUAGUAAUCGUGGAUCAGCGUGCCACGGUGAAUGCGUUCCCGGGUCUUGUACACACCGCCCGUCACACCAUGGGAGUUGGUUGUACCUUAAGGCAAGGUUUAAAACCCUUGACCACGGUAUAGUCAGCGACUGGGGUG